rnacentral:rRNA from 1 species
UACGUAGGGUGCGAGCGUUAAUCGGAAUUACUGGGCGUAAAGCGUGCGCAGGCGAUUAUGUAAGACAGUUGUGAAAUCCCCGGGCUCAACCUGGGAAUUGCAUCUGUGACUGCAUAGCUAGAGUACGGUAGAGGGGGAUGGAAUUCCGCGUGUAGCAGUGAAAUGCGUAGAUAUGCGGAGGAACACCGAUGGCGAAGGCAAUCCCCUGGACCUGUACUGACGCUCAUGCACGAAAGCGUGGGGAGCAAACAGG